rnacentral:rRNA from 1 species
AGAGUUUGAUCCUGGCUCAGGACGAACGCUGGCGGCGUGCCUAAUACAUGCAAGUCGAGCGAACAUUUGAGAGCUUGCUCUCAAAUGUUAGCGGCGGACGGGUGAGUAACACGUGGGCAACCUGCCUAUAAGACUGGGAUAACUUCGGGAAACCGGAGCUAAUACCGGAUAAUUCACAUCUACUCAUGUAGAUGUGCUGAAAGACGGUUUACGCUGUCACUUAUAGAUGGGCCCGCGGCGCAUUAGCUAGUUGGUGAGGUAAUGGCUCACCAAGGCAACGAUGCGUAGCCGACCUGAGAGGGUGAUCGGCCACACUGGGACUGAGACACGGCCCAGACUCCUACGGGAGGCAGCAGUAGGGAAUCUUCCGCAAUGGACGAAAGUCUGACGGAGCAACGCCGCGUGAGUGAUGAAGGUUUUCGGAUCGUAAAACUCUGUUGUUAGGGAGGAACAAGUACCAGAGUAACUGCUGGUACCUUGACGGUACCUAACCAGAAAGCCACGGCUAACUACGUGCCAGCAGCCGCGGUAAUAC